rnacentral:rRNA from 1 species
GACGAACGCUGGCGGCGUGCUUAACACAUGCAAGUCGAACGAGAAUCAAUGGAAAGAGACUUCGGUCAAUGGAAGUUGAGGACAGUGGCGGACGGGUGAGUAACGCGUGAGGAACCUGCCUUUCAGAGGGGGACAACAGUUGGAAACGACUGCUAAUACCGCAUAACGCAUAGGUGUCACAUGGCACUUAUGCCAAAGAUUUAUCGCUGAAAGAUGGCCUCGCGUCUGAUUAGCUAGUUGGUGAGGUAACGGCUCACCAAGGCGACGAUCAGUGGCCGGACUGGGGGGUUGGCCGGCCACAGUGGGACUGAGAUACGGCCCAGACUCGUACGGGAGGCAGCAGUGGGGAAUAUUGGGCAAUGGGCGCAAGCCUGACCCAGCAACGCCGCGUGAAGGAAGAAGGCUUUCGGGUUGUAAACUUCUUUUGUCAGGGAAGAGUAGAAGACGGUACCUGACGAAUAAGCCACGGCUAACUACGUGCCAGCAGCCGCAGUAAAAC